AUCGAUCCGGCUCAGCGACAGUUGGAUAGAGACAGACAGAUAGAACUAGCAACAGUGGGAUUGAAACGGACAGACAGAACCAGCAACAGUGGAAUAGAGAAAGACAGACAGAACCAGUGACAGUGGGUUAGAGACAGAGAGAUAGAACCAGCGACAGUGGGAUAGAGACAGACACAUAGAAUGAGCAAAAGUGGAAUAGAGACAGAAAGAUAGAACCAUUGACAGUGGGAUAGAGACAGACAGAUAGAACCAGCGACAGUAGAAUAGAGACAGACAGAGAGAACCAGAGACAGUGGGAUAGAGACUGACAUAGAGAACCAGCGACAGUGGGACAGACAGACAGACAGACAGACAGACAGACAGACAGACAGACAGACAGACAGACAGACAGACAGACAGACAGACAGACAGACAGACAGACAGACAGACAGACAGACAGACAGACAGACAGAACGAGCGAUAGUCGGAUAGAGAAAGACAGAUAGAAGGCACAACAGUUGGAUAGAAACAGACCGAUUGAACUAGCAACAGUGGGAUAGAGACAGACAGACAGAACCAGUGACAGUGGGAUAGAGACAGACAGAUAUAACCAGCGACAGUGGGACAGAGACAGACAGAUAUAACCAGUGACAGUCGGAUAGAGACAGACAGAUAUAACCAGUGACAGUGGGAUAGAGACAGACAAAUAGAACGAGUGACAGUGGGAUAGAGACAGACAAAUAGAACGAGUGACAGUGGGAUAGAGACAGGCAGAUGGAACCAGUGACAGUUGGAUAGAGAGAGACAAAUAGAACGAGCGACAGAGGGAAAGAGACAGACAGAUAGAUCAAGCGACAGUAGGAUAGAGAAAGACAGAUACAACAAGUGACAGUGGGAUAGAGACAGGCAGAUGGAACCAGCGAUAGUGGGAUAGAGACAGACAAAUUGAACGAGUGACAGUGGGAAAGAGACAGACAGAUUGAUAGAUCAAGCGACAGUAGAAUAAAAACAGGCUGUCACGUUCUGACCAGUAAAUGGGUUAUUUGUUAUUGAAGUUUGGUCAGGACGUGGCAGGGGGUGUUUGUUUUAUGUGGUUCGGGGUUUGUUGGGCUAUGUGCUUAUGUAAGAGGGGUGUUUGUUUUAUGUGUUCCGGGGUUUUUUGGUCUAUGUUCUAUGUAAAUGUAUUUCUGUUAGUUCUGGUCUUUCUGUUUCUAUGUUUAGUUAGUGGGGUUGACCUUCAAUUGGAAGCAGCUGCUCCUCGUUGCUUAUAAUUGAAGGUCUUAUUUAAGAGGGGUGUUUUCUCUAUGGGAUUUGUGGGAAGUUGUUUCCUGUUUUAUGUCUGUGCACCUGACAGGACUGUUUUAGUGUCGUUCGUUGUUUUGUAUACGUGAUUUAUUUGUAUUUUUUCCAUCUUUUGAUUUAAUAAAGAAGAUGAGUAUACACGUUCCCACUGCACCUUGGUCCAAUCCUUACGACGCCCAUUACAGAACUACCCACCACCAACGGACCAAGCAGCGGGGUAAGGAGCUGGAGAGGAGCUAUCGGGAGUCGUGGACCUGGGAGGAGAUCCUAGCAGGAGAGGGACCAUGGAGGAAGGCUGGAGAGGACCGGGAGUGUUUUGCUGGAACAAGGUUGGCAUGGAAGCCUGAUAGGCAGCCCCAAAACAAUUUUUUUGGGGGGAGGGGCACACGGGUAGUUUGGCUGGGCCAGGGUUGAGCCCUAAGCCAACUCCCCGUGCUUAUCAGAGGCAGCGUGGUACUGGUCAGGCCCGGUGCUAUGGGCUGACGUGUAUGGCGUCGAGGCCAAGCAUCCAGAGGCCGGUAUGCUCGGUACCAGCGUCCUGCAUUUGCCGGGGGGAAGCGGGCACCCAGCCAGUAAGGGUGGUGCCAGUCCUGCACUCGAGACCGCCAGUGCGCCUUCACGGCCCAGUGUAUCCUGUUCCUGCUCCCCGCACUAGCCCUGAGGUGCGUGUCUCCAGUCUGGCGUCUCCAAAGCCAGCACCACGCACCAGGCCUUCAGUGCGUCAGCCCAGUCCAAGAUGUCCUGUUCCCGCUCCUCGCACUAGCCUUGGGGUGCGUGUCUCCAGUCUGUUACCUCCACUACCAGCCCCACGCACCAGGCCUUCAGUGCGUCAGCCCAGUCCAGCUCGUCCUGCUCCUGCUCCUCGCACUAGCCCUGUGGUGCGUGUCCCUAGUCUGGCACUUCCUAAGCCAGCUCCACGCAUCAGGUCUUCAGUGCGCAGUCCCCGUCCAGAGCUUCCGGCAACAGUGCCUCGUCCAGAGUGUCCGGCAACAGUGCCUCGUCCAGAGUGUCCGGCGACAGUGCCCCGUCCAGAGUGUCCGGCGACAGUGCCCCGUCCAGAGUGUCCGGCAACAGUGCCCCGUCCAGAGCUUCCGGCGACAGUGCCCCGUAGAGAGAUGGCCCACAGUCCGGAACCGAGAGAGACGGCCCACAGUCCGGAACCGAGAGAGACGGCCCACAGUCCGGAACCGAGAGAGAAGGCCCACAGUCCGGAACCGAUAGAGACGGUCCACAGUCCGGAACCGAGAGAGAUGGCCCACAGUCCGGAGCCGAGAGAGACGGCCCACAGUCCGGAGCCGAGAGAGACGGCCCACAGUCCGGAGCCGAGAGAGACGGCCCACAGUCCGGAGCCGAGAGAGACGGCCCACAGUCCGGAGCCGAGAGAGACGGCCCACAGUCCGGAGCCGAGAGAGACGGCCUACAGUCCGGAAUCGGAGCCGAGAGAGACGGCCCACAGUCCGGAGCCGAGAGAGACGGCCUACAGUCCGGAAUUGGCGCAGCGAGAGUCGCCCUACAGUCCGGAAUCGGCGCAGCAAGAGUCGCCCUACAGUCCGCAAUCGGCGCAGCGAGAGUUGCCCUACAGUCCGGAAUCGGCGCAGCCAGAGUCGCCCUACAGUCCGGAAUCGGCGCAGCCAGAGUCGCCCUACAGUCCGGAAUCGGCGCAGCCAGAGUCGCCCUA
rnacentral:lncRNA from 1 species